rnacentral:ncRNA from 1 species
UUUAUCAAGAGAGGUGGAGGGACUGGCCCUUUGAAGCCCGGCAACCAGUAUUUGUGAAUAAUACAUUGGUGCUAAAUCCUGCAGUAUAGAACUGAAAGAUGAGG